AGAGUUUGAUCCUGGCUCAGGACGAACGCUGGCGGCGUGCUUAACACAUGCAAGUCGAACGGAGCAUAUAGCAAUAUAUUCUUAGUGGCGAACGGGUGAGUAACGCGUAGACAACCUGCCUUCUAGAUGGGGACAACGUUCCGAAAGGGACGCUAAUACCGAAUGUCCUGUCAAGUCCGCAUGGACUGGACAGCAAAGAUGGCCUCUGCAUAUGCUAUCGCUAGAAGAUGGGUCUGCGUCUGAUUAGCUGGUUGGUGAGGUAACGGCUCACCAAGGCGACGAUCAGUAGCCGGUCUGAGAGGAUGAACGGCCACACUGGGACUGAGACACGGCCCAGACUCCUACGGGAGGCAGCAGUGGGGAAUCUUCCGCAAUGGACGAAAGUCUGACGGAGCAACGCCGCGUGAGUGAAGAAGGNUUUCGGACCGUAAAACUCUGUCAUUUAGGGCGAACGUAUUGCUGGUGACAAUCAGCGAUAGUGACGGUACUAAAGAAAGGAAGCCACGGCUAACUACGUGCCAGCAGCCGCGGUAAUACGUAGNGGCGAGCGUUGUCCGGAAUUAUUGGGCGUAAAGCGCGCGUAGGCGGAAUAGUCNGUCUGUUGUAAAGUGCGGGCCUCAACCCCGUAAGGUCGAUGGAAACUGCUAUUCUG
rnacentral:rRNA from 1 species